CGCGGCCUAUCAGCUUGUUGGUGGGGUAGUGGCUUACCAAGGCUUUGACGGGUAGCCGGCCUGAGAGGGUGACCGGCCACAUUGGGACUGAGAUACGGCCCAGACUCCUACGGGAGGCAGCAGUGGGGAACAUUGCACAAUGGGCGGAAGCCUGAUGCAGCAACGCCGCGUGCGGGAUGACGGCCUUCGGGUUGUAAACCGCUUUCGCCUGUGACGAAGCGUGAGUGACGGUAAUGGGUAAAGAAGCACCGGCUAACUACGUGCCAGCAGCCGCGGUGAUACGUAGGGUGCGAGCGUUGUCCGGAUUUAUUGGGCGUAAAGGGCUCGUAGGUGGUUGAUCGCGUCGGAAGUGUAAUCUUGGGGCUUAACCCUGAGCGUGCUUUCGAUACGGGUUGACUUGAGGAAGGUAGGGGAGAAUGGAAUUCCUGGUGGAGCGGUGGAAUGCGCAGAUAUCAGGAGGAACACCAGUGGCGAAGGCGGUUCUCUGGGCCUUUCCUGACGCUGAGGAGCGAAAGCGUGGGGAGCGAACAGGCUUAGAUACCCUGGUAGUCCACGCUGUAAACGGUGGGUACUAGGUGUGGGGUCCAUUCCACGGGUUCCGUGCCGUAGCUAACGCUUUAAGUACCCCGCCUGGGGAGUACGG
rnacentral:rRNA from 1 species